rnacentral:lncRNA from 1 species
GGAUAUAAGACUUGUUUUUCUAUGUGUAUGAGAAUUUUGAGAUCAAUCGAACGGUGUAAAGGAGAGAUAUUGGCUCUGGAAGAUUGGCAUCAAGAUUGGAGAAGGAGGCCGGCCAAUACCUGAGCACAUUUUUGAGGAUAUCGUCAAUUUGGUAACUCCGAUCCUUAUCAAUUUUUUUUUAUACUUGUUUUUAACUUAUUUUUUUAGAAGUGUGCAAAAUUUGAGUUAAGAUCAACGGUUUAUUCAUUAGUUAUUGAGGUUUAAAUCUGUUGUAGGAAUUAUUAGGAUUUGGUUUAAGAUUUGGUUUGGAGUUUAGGAUUUGGAUUAGGGUUUGAUUUUGGGUUUAGGAUUUGGUUAGGGUUUGGUUUAGGGUUUGGUUAGGAUUUAGUUUAGGGUUUAGGAUUUGGAUUAGGAUUUGAUUUAGGAUUUAGGAUUUAGGAUUUGGAUAGGGUUUGAUUUAGGAUUUAGGAUUUGAUUAGGAUUUGAUUUAGGAUUUAAGGUUUGAAUUAGGGUUUGAUUUAGGGUUUGAUUUAGGGUUUAGGAUUUUAUUAGGAUUUAAGAUUCAAUUAUUUUGGCUUAAAGUUUGAAUGAAGUUCAAUAGGAUUUUAACUAGAAUUAAAUUAAGAUUGAAUUGAGAUGUAUUUGAAUGACAUUUGUGUUCUUUCUAAUAUUUCUUUUAAAAUUCCUAUUGUUUGUUUGAAAUUUCUUUGAGGUUUUUUUGAAUUUGAUUAAGCUUUUUUAGCAUUAUUAUAGUCUAAUUAGAGAAUUUUUAGUAUUCUAUUAGAAUUAGAAUUUUUUUAUUGCAAUUUCCAUUCUUCCUUCCACAACCAGGUGUCCGGAGCAUUCUCAAGCCAGACUUCACGUAUUAUGACAACGUAUAUUUGGAGUAUAAAGAUUUAAAACUCAUCAAAGUCGGAAGUCAAUUGAUAGAUGAUGAGUUGAUAAGUUAUAAAUCAUUAAUUGUAGGUUAUAGGGACAUAUUUGCAUGGUCUUAAAAGGAUCUUAAGGACAUACCUCUAGAAGUAGCCCAACACAGAAUCUCUUUC